GCGCGCGCUGUCUUCCGUGCGACCCGGGCAGACCCUGGAGAACACGUACAUGUACAGAGGAACUUUCAACCUCUCUCUGCUUCCUGGGCAAAGAUACAGUUCGUGGAGUCUCUCCAUCCAUGCAUUCACUUCAAGAUCUUGGAUAAGGAGUAGAGGUGCUGGGGAUUUAGCUCAGCGGCAAAGUGCCAGCCUGGCAAGCGCAAGGGCGUGAGUUCAAUUCCUGGUACGGGAAGAAAAACAAACAAACAAAAAAUAAAGAGAAGAAAAUAUAGGUAAUGCAAAGCUAGUAGGUGAAGAGAUCUGACAGACCGAGAGAUAACGUCUUCAUUUGAUGUUUUGGAAGUUUUGAUUGGUUGUCACCGUCUCGCUGGGUAAAAACCUCAGCAUGAAACAAAUUUAUGAAUGAUAAAGGAUAUCAUGUGAUCCCCUCUGACUUAUGUGAAUGUCAUUAUCCGGGUUUGAGCAUGGAAGUGUGUAUACUAUGGCUGAAUCUCAAAUCCUUGGCUAUUUAUAUAAUAUGGAUGGGAGUUAUUUGGAGAACAAAAUAUUUAUAGGGUAUGUUUAACCUGUGACAAUUUACAGUUGUCCAUCAUUUAUCUUUUUUGGCCGACUGCACAUGUGACUGAACAUGCCUUUUAAACAAUUCUGAAGAAAGGACGAACUGAUAACUUUGUAAGCUACAGCUUGUUGGAUUAUCUGCCUAUGACUUGUAAAUAUGUGUUGCUAUUUAUCAGUUGCUACAUUUGAUAUUCUGACAGUUCAUAUAAUGCUAUAUAUGGCAAAAAGUUAUAUUUAGUAUUUUCAUUCUUUUAUUGACCAUGCUGUGCUUUUUGGUUACAUUUUCAUACAAUGUAGCAGUGAGUUCUAACUUGGGGAAUAAAAAUGAAAAAUCAGCGA